rnacentral:rRNA from 1 species
UACGGAGAGUGCAAACGUUGUUCGGAUUUACUGGGCGUAAAGGGCGCGUAGGCGGCAGAUCAAGUCAGCUGUGAAAUCUCCGAGCUUAACUCGGAACGGUCAGCUGAUACUGUUUUGCUAGAGUACAGAAGGGGCAAUCGGAAUUCUUGGUGUAGCGGUGAAAUGCGUAGAUAUCAAGAGGAACACCUGAGGUGAAGACGGGUUGCUGGGCUGAUACUGACGCUGAGGCGCGAAAGCUAGGGUAGCAAACGGG